rnacentral:rRNA from 1 species
UACGUAGGGUGCAAGCGUUGUCCGGAAUUAUUGGGCGUAAAGAGCUCGUAGGCGGUUUGUCGCGUCUGCUGUGAAAUCCCGAGGCUCAACCUCGGGCCUGCAGUGGGUACGGGCAAACUAGAGUGCGGUAGGGGAGAUUGGAAUUCCUGGUGUAGCGGUGGAAUGCGCAGAUAUCAGGAGGAACACCGAUGGCGAAGGCAGGUCUCUGGGCAUUAACUGACGCUGAGGAGCGAAAGCAUGGGGAGCGAACAGG